GAUGAACGCUGGCGGCGUGCCUAAUACAUGCAAGUCGAGCGAACGGACGAGAAGCUUGCUUCUCUGAUGUUAGCGGCGGACGGGUGAGUAACACGUGGAUAACCUACCUAUAAGACUAGGAUAACUUCGGGAAACCGGAGCUAAUACCGGAUAAUAUUUUGAACCGCAUGGUUCAAAAGUGAAAGACGGUCUUGCUGUCACUUAUAGAUGGAUCCGCGCUGCAUUAGCUAGUUGGUAAGGUAACGGCUUACCAAGGCAACGAUGCAUAGCCGACCUGAGAGGGUGAUCGGCCACACUGGAACUGAGCCACGGUCCAGACUCCUACGGGAGGCAGCAGUAGGGAAUCUUCCGCAAUGGGCGAAAGCCUGACGGAGCAACGCCGCGUGAGUGAUGAAGGUCUUCGGAUCGUAAAACUCUGUUAUUAGGGAAGAACAUAUGUGUAAGUAACUGUGCACAUCUUGACGGUACCUAAUCAGAAAGCCACGGCUAACUACGUG
rnacentral:rRNA from 1 species